GCCUGGGUGGCUCAGUUGGUUAAGCAUCUGACUUCGGCUCAGGUCAUGAUCUUGCAGUUUGUGAGUUCGAGCCCCGCUUUGGGCU
rnacentral:tRNA from 1 species